GAUGAACGCUAGCGGCAGGCCUAAUACAUGCAAGUCGAACGGUCCACUUCGGUGGAUAGUGGCGCACGGGUGCGUAACACGUAUGCAACCUACCUUACAUUGGGGGAUAGCCUUUCGAAAGGGAGAUUAAUACCGCAUAAGACAGUAACAUGGCAUCAUGUAGCUGUUAAAGAUUUAUCGAUGUAAGCUGGGCAUGCGUCCAAUUAGUCAGUUGGUGAGGUAAUGGCUCACCAAGACGAUGAUUGGUAGGGGAACUGAGAGGUCAAUCCCCCACACUGGCACUGAGAUACGGGCCAGACUCCUACGGGAGGCAGCAGUAGGGAAUAUUGGGCAAUGGACGCAAGUCUGACCCAGCCAUGCCGCGUGCAGGAAGAAGGCGUUCUGCGUUGUAAACUGCUUUUAUAUAGGAAGAAACGACCCUUGCGAGGGGCAUUGACGGUAUUAUAUGAAUAAGCACCGGCUAACUCCGUGCCAGCCGCCGCGGUAAUAC
rnacentral:rRNA from 1 species